CUACGGGGUGCAGCAGUGGGGAAUAUUGCACAAUGGGCGCAAGCCUGAUGCAGCCAUGCCGCGUGUAUGAAGAAGGCCUUCGGGUUGUAAAGUACUUUCAGCGGGGAGGAAGGGAGUAAAGUUAAUACCUUUGCUCAUUGACGUUACCCGCAGAAGAAGCACCGGCUAACUCCGUGCCGGCAGCCGCGGUAAUACGGAGGGUGCAAGCGUUAAUCGGAAUUACUGGGCGUAAAGCGCACGCAGGCGGUUUGUUAAGUCAGACGUGAAAUCCCCGGGCUCAACCUGGGAACUGCAUCUGAUACUGGCAAGCUUGAGUCUCGUAGAGGGGGGUAGAAUUCCAGGUGUAGCGGUGAAAUGCGUAGAGAUCUGGAGGAAUACCGGUGGCGAAGGCGGCCCCCUGGACGAAGACUGACGCUCAGGUGCGAAAGCGUGGGGAGCAAACAGGAUUAGAUACCCCGGUAGUC
rnacentral:rRNA from 1 species